AUUGAACGCUGGCGGCAGGCCUAACACAUGCAAGUCGAACGAGUGGCGGACGGGUGAGUAAUGUCUGGGAAACUGCCCGAUGGAGGGGGAUAACUACUGGAAACGGUAGCUAAUACCGCAUACCAUCGGAUGUGCCCAGAUGGGAUUAGCUAGUAGGUGGGGUAACGGCUCACCUAGGCGACGAUCCCUAGCUGGUCUGAGUGGAUGACCAACCAGACUGGAACGAAGACGCGGUCCAGACUACUACGGUAGGCAGCAGUGGGGAAUAUUGCACUAUGGGCGCAAGCCUGAUGCAGCCAUGCCGCGUGUAUGAAGAAGGCCUUCGGGUAGUAAGGUACUUUCAGCGAGGAGGCAUUACUCGCAGAAGAAGCACCGGCUAACUCCGUGCCAGCAGCCGCGGUAAUAC
rnacentral:rRNA from 1 species